rnacentral:rRNA from 1 species
ACACCUGUUCCCAUGUCGAACACAGAAGUUAAGCUUCUUAGCGCCGAGAGUAGUUGGGGGAGCACCCCCUGCGAGGGUAGGACGUUGCCACGC